AGACGGAGGAUGCAAUGUGUUGAUACCGGGAAUCACUGGGCGUAAAGCGUUCUGUAGGUGGUUUAAUAAAGUCAACUGUUAAAUCUUGAGGCUCAACCUCAAAAUCGCAGUCGAAACUAUUAGGCUAGAGUAUAGUAGGGGUAAAGGGAAUUUCCAGUGGAAGCGGUGAAAUGCGUAGAGAUUGGAAAGAACACCGAUGGCGAAGGCACUUUACUGGGCUAUUACUAACACUCAGAGACGAAAGCUAGGGUA
rnacentral:rRNA from 1 species